rnacentral:rRNA from 1 species
UACGAAGGGGGCUAGCGUUGCUCGGAAUUACUGGGCGUAAAGGGAGCGUAGGCGGACAUUUAAGUCAGGGGUGAAAUCCCAGAGCUCAACUCUGGAACUGCCUUUGAUACUGGGUGUCUUGAGUGUGAUAGAGGUAUGUGGAACUCCGAGUGUAGAGGUGAAAUUCGUAGAUAUUCGGAAGAACACCAGUGGCGAAGGCGACAUACUGGCUCAUUACUGACGCUGAGGCGCGAAAGCGUGGGGAGCGAACAGG